rnacentral:rRNA from 1 species
AAAAGCCUGUUUGGUUGUGUCUGUCUGUUGAAUCGAAAUUCUUACGAGUCUAGUUGUUUGAGAGUACAACUUAAAGCUGGUGGUAAAUUUCAUCAAAGGCUAAAUAUAUGAGGGGACUAAUAGCGAACAAGUACCAUGAGGGAAAGUUGAAAAGAACUCUGACGAGAGAGUUCAACAGUGCGUGAAACCAUAUUGAGUAAAACAGAUAACUGUGUCGUUAUGCGGUGUGUCUAUCAACAGUAAAUCGGGUGUUGCGAUGCGACGAGUGUGAGCUGUUUAUUCAGACGAUCGCUCGCUGUUAGCAUAGCUCGAGGUUCUGUGUACUAGUGCACACCCAAUCAUUGAGAAACUAUGCUACUGCGGCAUCGGUGCACAUCAGUCCGUGCCUAGCGCGAAGUUGUGUACUGGGCUCUGCUGGCGGCGUAGUUUAGCUGUGUGACAGCUGUGGGAUGCGUUUGUUGAAUGUGCCUGCUUUGUCUGCGAAUCGGUUUAUUCCUUUUUGCGGUGAGUAUGGUACAGUAGGCGAGCAUCCCGCCAUCAAUGGUUGACAUUAGUUAUUUGACCCGUCUUGAAACACGGACCAAGGAGUUCAAAUGGCACGCGAGUCAUUGGGUUUAACCACCCGAAGGCGAAGUGAAAUGCAAACGUAUCGUUACUCGUAGUA